GGGAAGGAGUGUGAUUUGACAGCAGCAUCUGUCAUUCCAUUGAUCACCAGAAUUGAUACUGCCCAUCUGGCUGAUGAGGUGCUAUCAUCUUUCUCAUCACCACUCAUCAUCUUUCUGAAGCUGUACAUUCAGUUGAAGAGGAGUUAACCUUGACAGGAUAACCACAUCUUAACUGCGAUCACAGACAGCCCUGGUAGAGCAGUAAUUUCAUAUCCCAUGUUUCCAAAACUUUCUUGAUAAUAAGAAUUACUUGGGAUGUUUGUUAAAAAUCCAGCUUGCCAGGCCACCUUCCAGGAGAUUCUGCAUUAGUCGGU
rnacentral:snRNA from 10 species